AAGCUGUCCGGAGUUGUCAGCUAGUCGCGUGAAUUGCGACUGUCGUAUACGCGAAACUGAUGAAUAUAUACGUAAAUAUUGGUCGAUUAGACAGCUGAUGUGCGAGACGGUGACUAGUGUUCGAGGGAGAAAGAAUGAAAACUCGGCGCGACGAUAACUCGGCAAAUGUAAACGAUGCGAAUGUCCAAUCGAGCAAACGGCAGGUACCGUAGGAAUGUUGUUUCCGACCUUGUGGAAUCGCACGAAUGUACGGCCGAAGAUACAAAAGAAACGACCUCGAAUCAGCAAGUCGAGUAAUUACCACUACACGACGGAGGAGUCGCAUCCGUAGAGAUGAACAGGAUCUCUCUCUUCUUCUCUCGAUGCGUCGAUUUUGCUCCGAAUAUUCAUUCGCGAUGCGUUUAUUUUUUUCAUUAUCUAAUUAACUCUUUUAGCUUCCUUGAAAGACUGCAUAACAUGAUAUAAUGCAAGUGGCAUGUCUUAAUUAAGCCAUUAAAAAAAAUUGUUUUAUUUUACUUUGACUAUAUUGCAAGAUGAACUUAAAUUAAUAUUAUUGCAAAUAAUAGUCGAUUAAAUUGAAACAUUUACUUUGAAUUGAUUACAGAUACAGAGGUAUCCGUGUGCAUAUAAUUUUGAUCGUUCUAUCAAUAGUUUCGAUUUAUCCUAUUUGUCUAUUAUAUGAAUGAGCGUUUCUAAUGCGUUUCUAACGUAGCGAAUGUCAAACAAUUACGAUGCUAAUGCGGCGUAAUGUUUCGUGGAUAAUAUAACCAAGGUUGAUCAUUAAAAUUGCGCUCGCAUAACUUAACUACAACUGCCCAAUUAUUCGAGCGAAUUAUCUUGCUCUCGCGAUUUAUUUUUAUUUAAUGUACCCAGUGAUCUUAAAAAUCAUAUAUUUAUAGCUGUUCGAUAUUUACGAUCAUGUUUCAACGGCAGUAAAAAUCGAAAUGUUAAUAGCAAGCUAAGAAAUUAUCAUGCAAUCAGACAUACUACCGCGCGUGAUGUAGUAUAUUCAAUUUACUAUUCAAACAAUGAUUGGAGCUCGGUUCCAAAAAAUUUUCUCGAUCGGUAGAACUCCUGAUCUCCUUUGAGUGCUUGUUUCUUCGAACCAAUCGAAAAUUGCAUUUAAUAUUCUUACAAGUCUCCGCGCGAAGGAAAGAGCAUAUGCAGAAAAUAGCAAUACAGCAAGUUUCCUGAUCUGUAGUGAAAAAAGGGUGACUGAGAGCGAGUGAAAAAGCGCAUACCUCGGUGAGGCCCCACCGGGUAAAUAAUUUGUCUUUGAGUGCCAAUUCGAACGAGAAGCUCGUAAAACCGCAAUCGUACAGUUGUCUCGGCUCGGCCGAGAUACAUAAUGUGCCACACACGCACACACAUUGAGAUCUCGCAUUAACAUGAUCUUUCUCACCCUGGAAGAGAGACAGGUCGUUGCAGCCCGGUCGAAAUAGCCGGCGUUUAAGCAAACCAAUUAGCAUAGCGAACUCGCGCUAUACACGUGUACAUAAAUGAACACGCAUACAGCACGCGAGUCGCAUGCGCCGAAGGAUAGUUGCAAAUGCAACUAGUGCGUGUGUAGCGAGCCUCCGAAGGCGAAUAACGGGUGCAGCGUUCAGGGCCUCUUUCGCGGUGUCUCUCUCUUUCUCUCUUUUUUAGCCGCUCUAUACAAUCACUUCACUCUCAUAUUUAUAACAUAUUCAUAAUUAUCAUGCGCAAGGCCGGAGAUUGAUUUUGCAACGGCGACGACAUAAUCCCGCUCAACACGGCCGAUCAGCAGUAGCAGCAGCCUUGACGCCGAGAGGGUGCUAUCGGAACCUCGUUGCAAAAUCGCAAAUAAGCCCGCGGUAAUUCUGUUUUACAAAUUAGAGCCGCUCUAAUGUUAUUCUAUAAGUGGAGUUUAAGCAAGUGGCCGCGUCAACGGAUGCUUCUAGGGCAAGGUGAUUGGCUUGAGAAAAACAACCUGUAAUCGUGCGCGUGAUCAUUAGUAUCGGAAUCCAGAGCAGGACCAGAUCGGAUCAGAAAUUUCACGAGAAAAAAAAGAUGAUAUACCGGUUUUACUACGAUUGAAAAAGUAAACAAAAUAAUGUUGAGGAUGUACAAAUUGAUUGAUUAAUUUCCAUUUAAAUAGCGUGUAUGUCUUUAUUUAGUUUAUUUAGAAUAUUUAAAUUAGUCAUAUAUCCAGAAUGUGACAGAAACGCAAAAUAGUAUCCGCAUUGGCGAUCGCGGUAGGAAAUUUACUCAAGGUCGGUUCUCUUUUCACCCCGCGUCGCCGUUGCUCGCGCGAUAACUAUCGAUCGCGCAUAACCGAUUCUAUAUUCGAUCUGGUCCAGUAUCUAGAUCCGGCGUGUGCGCACGCACGAGUUCCGUUCGAAUGAGUCAGAUGAUCGUCACGAUCGUCAGAGAGAUAAAAAUCAAAGUUAACACGUGCAUAAUUGUUCGAAGCGAACGUGUGCAAUUAUAUCGGCAUAGAAUCGCGAAUAUUAAUUGUGCAUAGCUAUGCGCGUUUACUUCCGAGAUUUAUAUUUAAAAUAGAAGGCCACUACUCGCCGGAAUUGAAAUCGCCAGAUACUACGGAUGCUUUCCUAUGAAAGAAUAUAAGUGAAAGAGAUUCAGAUUAUUAGAAAGAAUUUUAAAAUUUUUUUCAAAUAUAUAAUAUUUGUAUAAAAUAAUAAGUAUCUAGAGACCGUGAAAUGUUAACUAACAAUUGAGAACUUUAAAACAACGGUAAAGCGGAUCUUGGUGCUUCCCCAUAAUUUUAUUUAUAUAAAAUAUCCUGUUAGCUUUUCAUUUAAUGCAGUUUUGAAUUUCACUGAUUAGUGACUUACGUCUAUCUAUACAUUAGCGAUUCCGGGCCACAGAAUGUGCGGAGAAAGCGUAAGAUGGUCACAGCGAAGUGACGUGUCCUCGUGUUUAUACAGACGGAUGCAAAUAACAAAUCAUACAAUCGCUUAGAGGAAGUCCGGGUAUCGUCUUGAAAAGAAAACACGAAGAGAUCCAAACUCGUUUUAGAUAUUGAGCGUUAAAAAUGUUAUAUCUUUCUCGUUAGGGAAUAAUUAAUUUCUUACUCUUUGGUAACGGUACCUGAUGCGCGCAUCACGUUGAAUUAUGCAUGAAUGAUGAAUGCAAUAUUCCGAGAAAACUCUACGAGUCCGCGAGUCUCUUCGAUUAGCAUUCGAACCCGCGAACAAACAUUAUAGCGAUUUGUAAGCUAUUCGCGCUAGUAGUAUUUUUGCGUCAAUAAAUCUCGAUCGUUUGGGGAAAGGUUCACUGUAGGAGAUCGAAAAGAUCGAAGCGAUUACGAUGUAUGUUCAGCGCGGAUGUUAAGGAGAUAAGUACGAUAUCGCGUGAGAAAUGAGACAUAGACCUUGCCGGUUAUUCUUACGCGGUUGCGAAAUUUCGCAUCGUCGUUAUAGAUAUAGGUAUACAUACGGAGGGGAAAAAAAAGCGAAUAACCUCGUAAAAGUGUUGAUUAUAAGUUGUCGCACGACUUAUUGGACGCGAAUAGAAACGGAAUCGGCCUUGCCAUCGUAAUCCACGGUGCGUUAUACACGCGACGGAAAAACGCGGCAACCUCGAAAAAGUAUCGAUUAAAAUCCAUUAGUGUGCGAUCUUGGGGGAAAAAAAUAUAGUUACGUGAAGAAUAGACGAGCUGUAAUUUGCAAAGUAGACGUAAACGGAUAUAUGAUGCAGUACGUAUUAUUAAAAAAUUGUUACACACGUCCGAUUCUAGCUAAUAUUACGUACUCGAGAAUGACUGCAUUAAAAACAAUCGAUAAUUACGAGUCUCACGUAAAAUCGUGUACAAUUGUUUAUUCUUAUCUUGUUAUUAUACUAAUCGCCGUGGAACAUAUGCAAAUACAAUUUUAUGCAUCAAGUAGAAGCGCAAAUAUUCGCGAGAGAAAGGGGUUGGUGCAAAAAAAUAAUUUGCGUAACGCGUUUGGCAAGAAGGAAAGAUGCUAUUUGUCUUUCGACGGCAGUUUCAGAUGGCAGAAAAGUAAAUUCGCGUCGAGAGAACCACCGGUUUCUCCCAACCGCCACGCGUCUUCCUAUAAUCGAAAAACAGCUGACUCGUGACCGGCUACUUCCUCGUGUAAUCUUGUUGGACUCACGCUACUUCAGCAGAUUGAAUUUUUCGCGCUCGCCAAGUGUCAUAGGUCUCUUGCAUCAGCUGCUUCGCUCGAUUCUCGAUCUUAUGCAAAUUUAUGUAUACGAGACAAACCGGGCAUUGAACGCAUUAUCUCUUCAUUCUUAUAAUGACGUUUUUUGAUUUUAAGGAAAAGAAAUAUUCCGUUGAAAUAACAAAUUUGGCAACGGCCAACAAACGAGAUUUUAAUCUUCAUUUAUUCAUCAUUCAUCUUCAACUAGAUUCGGCGAAUAAUAACUUGAAAAUGUCAAGAUUUUGCUCCAGACCGGUUUUAGGUUACUGAAAUGGGAUAUACGCACAUGAAAAAUUCUUUAAUUAAAACCCAUACAAAAUGUGGCCUCGACAAUUAAAUAUUCAUUAAUAUUGCGGCAAGGUCAAUAACAUUGCGUAAACAGGAUAAUAACACUGCGCAUUUACUUUCUCUGCGCGAGGACUCUUCUCCGUUUCGCCGGGCCUACGUGAGAAUUUCACUUGCGUUGGACUCCGGUUAUUAAGAUUGAGAAAGAGCGGAACCGACACACAUGCACCUUUAAGCGAUUUUCUGACGCAAUUUUUUUUACCCAUUUCGAAAUGUACCGUUAGCCAGAAAAAUCUCGAGAAUCUAACUACAAAAGCAAACAGUCGCUAUGUACAGAAAUCGUAUAAUUAAGCCAGAGCGUGUGUCAUGGCAGUUGUGAGACAGCUCGUGUCUCUGCGAUGAAUGCAAAGUGCAUAUAAUUUCAUACAAUUUAAUAAAUAAUGUACAUGUUGCAUAUACCAGAUCAAA